GAUGAACGCUGGCGGCGUGCCUAAUACAUGCAAGUAGAACGCUGAAGGAGGAGCUUGCUCUUCUGGAUGAGUUGCGAACGGGUGAGUAACGCGUAGGUAACCUGCCUGGUAGCGGGGGAUAACUAUUGGAAACGAUAGCUAAUACCGCAUGACAACAGUUAUUGCAUGAUAACUGUUUAAAAGGGGCAACUGCUCCACUACCAGAUGGACCUGCGUUGUAUUAGCUAGUUGGUGAGGUAACGGCUCACCAAGGCGACGAUACAUAGCCGACCUGAGAGGGUGAUCGGCCACACUGGGACUGAGACACGGCCCAGAAUCCUACGGGAGGCAGCAGUAGGGAAUCUUCGGCAAUGGACGGAGGUCUGACCGAGCAACGCCGCGUGAGUGGAGAAGGUUUUCGGAUCGUAAAGCUCUGUUGUAAGAGAAGAACGAGUGUGAGAGUGGAAAGUUCACACUGUGACGGUAUCUUACCAGAAAGGGACGGCUAACUACGUG
rnacentral:rRNA from 1 species